CUGGGCUAGAAGCGACGCCCUCCUACUGCACCGCCUGAGGGGCGGGGCUUAGAGCCUACAGUGGUUCCACGGCGGGCGGCGGAGCGGGGUUUUGGGGAGGUUGUGGCACAGGCAGAGCAGGGCCGGCUGGGCCCUCCGUGACUGCAUUGCGGCUCGCUCCCCGCCUCCCCGCUGCAGUUGCUAUGGCAGGCGGAGUCCCUGCCUUCCUUUCCCAGAGAGUCAGGCUGCAGCUGGUUGGGUGGGGUGUGCCAGGCUCACAGCUCUGGUCUCCCACACGGGCCUCGCCUAGGCAUUGAACUUAGGUUGAUCUAGAUACCUCACUGUGCAACGUGCCAUGCCCUGAGCAGUGUACUUAGGUCAACCUACAUCACGCAGCCAGGCGUGGAUUUACUGCGAGGGGAAGACCUCUUUAGGUCUGUAGAAAGUGUCUACACUGCAGUGUCAUAACUGCAGCUGUGCUGGUGGUGGGAAUUCCAGAGAUGAACAGGUCCACCUGGGGUGUCCCCCACUUCUGGAAGAUGAUCUGAGCAACCUCUGGAUGGCGGGACCACUUGUGGCAAGAGAAGAAAGACUUGCUGAGAUAACUGGGGAAGGAACACUUCACAUGCCAGGUGGAUGGCCCUGAGUUCUCUGAUGUUUAUAUGUAACAACAGCUCCUCUUGGGACCACAGGCCCUGGGUCCUGAGGUACCAAUGUGAUCUCUGCAUCCCAAGUCUGAGGCAUCCAACACCAAGAACACCAUAGGUCAUGGAGCUCAAACUGAACCCCUUUUGUUAUAUAGUGCAGGUUCAACCAGCAUGCUAGGGAGACCCAGUGCAUGGCAGGUGGCUUGCACUACCGCGAUGCUAUGUUGAACUUGUGCCUUCGAGUGACCCUUGAUGAGCCAAUCGUCGAGGUACGGGUAGAUCUGAAUACCGUGAUGCCUGAGAUCCGGACCUUCUACUGUGAUGCCACAUGAAGUGGAAGCACAGGAGGAACUCGGAUCCUUUUGGAAGAUGGAGCUGAACCAUGCUUUCAGGUCCUAACAGGGCAGCUUCUUUUGCAAGCAGAUCCACCUUGUUGUUCCACGUAGAAAUUUCUGCUUGGUUCUUUCUAUGCGCACGGACUUUAAACCGAUCCAGACCUACUACUGUGAUGCCACUUGAAGUGGAAGCACAGGUGGAACUCGGAUCCUUUUGGAAGAUGGAGCUGAACCAUAUUAACACUUGAUGUCAUUGGACUUGAUUGACUGCAACUGAGAGCAGAACUUGGGCCAUUGUUUGGAAAGUGGCAGUCUCCUCCCCCUCUGCCAAUGAAAGUGCUCUUGAAUACCAGAUAAGCAGCCCCUCACCAAAACAGACCCCCGGCCUCUCUCUUCAAGC